UAUAUAGAUCAUAUUAUGCAAUAUGCAAUGCAUAGAUUUUCAAAUCUGUUUAAUGUUAUGGACAGUGCAGCCUUCCCUGGUAACUAAUGGUGCAAGGCAGGAGCCAGUUGGAUGUGGUCAUGUGAAAGAGGGGCACAGACGACAAAAGAGUUCUGGACAGCAACCUGUGAUGUCUGAUACCCCAAAGCAUAUACCCCAUUUUGCCUUGAGACCCAUUGAGUAGAAUCCUCUAAGAUGAAGCCUAAAAACAUCCAAUAAAGAAUAAUUUAAGAUCAUUAAUGUUCUUUUUGGUGACGAUCUGCACCACCACCACCCCCCG